AGUCUGAGGCCCAUGCCAGAUGCAGCUAUCCCAGAAUCAGACAACCGCCAAUGCCAGUUUCUUGUGUAUCUUCCAGAUAUAUCCUAGGCAAAUCAUGCAUAUGUACCAGAAGCCAGCUUUGUUUCCUCUUUUGGACAGUGUGGUGUGGCUGAUGUGAAGCCUUCAAAUGCUGCAGCCCUUUUGCUUCUAAGAAGGGAGUCAAAUUAAGGAUGAAGCUCACGUUUUGGAAGGCUGAACUGACAGAUGGAAGGGAAAUUAGGUCCUCGAUGAUAUUGUUGUCUACAGAAUCAAACCAAUCACAGAGCCUGUUCAUCUCCUGGAAUUUGCAGUUGUAUGAGCCAAUAAAUCCUCUUUGUUGUUUAAGCCUA